rnacentral:rRNA from 1 species
UCGGAAUUGCUAGUAAUCGCGGAUCAGCAUGCCGCGGUGAAUACGUUCCCGGGCCUUGUACACACCGCCCGUCACACCAUGGGAGCCGGUAAUACCCGAAGUCAGUAGUCCAACCUCGUGAGGACGCUGCCGAAGGUAGGAUUGGCGACUGGGGUGAAGUCGUAACAAGGUAGC